rnacentral:misc_RNA from 1 species
GAUGAAGAACGUAGCGAAAUGCGAUACUUGGUGUGAAUUGCAGAAUCCCGUGAACCAUCGAGUCUUUGAACGCAAGUUGCGCCCGAAGCCAUCAGGUUGAGGGCACGUCUGCCUGGGCGUCACAUAUCGUUGCCAAAUGCCUAUUGCAGUGCAAUAGGAAUUUCUAGGGCGAAUGAUGGCUUCCCGUGAGCGUUGUUGCCUCGCGGUUGGUUGAAAAUCGAGUCCUUGGUAGGGUGUGCCAUGGUAGAUGGUGGUCGAGUUAGAACGAUACCGAUCAUGUGCAUGCUCCCCAAAAUAUGGCCUCUAUGACCCACACGCGUCUUUUGACGCUCAUGACGAGACCUCAGGUCAGGCGGGGCUACCCGCUGAAUUUAAGCAUAUCAAUAAGCGGAGGA